AAAGUCGUAACAAGGUCUCCGUUGGUGAACCAGCGGAGGGAUCAUUACAGAAACUUGACCAUUUGUGUCAUGGCUCUGCCAACCCCGUGAAUUUUAUAAUUGUACGUUGCUUCGGCGGCUGGAACCUCCGCGAGGGGGGGAAAACCGCCAGUAGCAUAUACGCAAACGCUCUGAAGUAAGCUCUGCGCUCCUUCUGAACAAGAAAACUUUUAACGAGUAAAAACUUUUGGCAACGGAUCUCUUGGCUCUG
rnacentral:misc_RNA from 1 species